rnacentral:rRNA from 1 species
GGAAGUAAAAGUCGUAACAAGGUCUCCGUUGGUGAACCAGCGGAGGGAUCAUUACCGAGUUUACAACUCCCAAACCCCUGUGAACAUACCAAUUGUUGCCUCGGCGGAUCAGCCCGCUCCCGGUAAAACGGGACGGCCCGCCAGAGGACCCCUAAACUCUGUUUCUAUAUGUAACUUCUGAGUAAAACCAUAAAUAAAUCAAAACUUUCAACAACGGAUCUCUUGGUUCUGGCAUCGAUGAAGAACGCAGCAAAAUGCGAUAAGUAAUGUGAAUUGCAGAAUUCAGUGAAUCAUCGAAUCUUUGAACGCACAUUGCGCCCGCCAGUAUUCUGGCGGGCAUGCCUGUUCGAGCGUCAUUUCAACCCUCAAGCCCCCGGGUUUGGUGUUGGGGAUCGGCGAGCCCUUGCGGCAAGCCGGCCCCGAAAUCUAGUGGCGGUCUCGCUGCAGCUUCCAUUGCGUAGUAGUAAAACCCUCGCAACUGGUACGCGGCGCGGCCAAGCCGUUAAACCCCCAACUUCUGAAUGUUGACCUCGGAUCAGGUAGGAAUACCCGCUGAACUUAAGCAUAUCA